rnacentral:rRNA from 1 species
AUUGAACGCUGGCGGCAGGCUUAACACAUGCAAGUCGAGCGGGGUGAGGUGCUUCGGUACUGAUCCUAGCGGCGGACGGGUGAGUAAUGCUUAGGAAUCUGCCAUUUAGUGGGGGACAACAUUCCGAAAGGAAUGCUAAUACCGCAUACGUCCUACGGGAGAAAGCAGGGGAUCUUCGGACCUUGCGCUAAAUGAUGAGCCUAAGUCGGAUUAGCUAGUUGGUGGGGUAAAGGCCUACCAAGGCGACGAUCCGUAGCGGGUCUGAGAGGAUGCUCCGCCACACUGGGACUGAGACACGGCCCAGACUCCUACGGGAGGCAGCAGUGGGGAAUAUUGGACAAUGGGCGGAAGCCUGAUCCAGCCAUGCCGCGUGUGUGAAGAAGGCCUUUUGGUUGUAAAGCACUUUAAGCGAGGAGGAGGCUACCUGGAUUAAUACUCUGGGAUAGUGGACGUUACUCGCAGAAUAAGCACCGGCUAACUCUGUGCCAGCCGCCGCCGUAACAC